rnacentral:rRNA from 1 species
UAGGGAAUCUUCCGCAAUGGGCGAAAGCUUGACGGAGCAACGCCGCGUGAGUGAUGAAGGUCUUCGGAUCGUAAAACUCUGUUAUUAGGGAAGAACAAAUGUGUAAGUAACUAUGCACGUCUUGACGGUACCUAAUCAGAAAGCCACGGCUAACUACGUGCCAGCAGCCGAGGUAAUACGUAGGUGGCAAGCGUUAUCCGGAAUUAUUGGGCGUAAAGCGCGCGUAGGCGGUUUUUUAAGUCUGAUGUGAAAGCCCACGGCUCAACCGUGGUGGGUCAUUGGAAACUGGAAAACUUGAGUGCAGAAGAGGAAAGUGGAAUUCCAUGUGUAGCGGUGAAAUGCGCAGAGAUAUGGAGGAACACCAGUGGCGAAGGAGACUUUCUGGUCUGUAACUGACGCUGAUGUGCGAAAGCGUGGGGAUCAAACAGG